rnacentral:rRNA from 1 species
AGUGAACGCUGGCGGUAGGCCUAACACAUGCAAGUCGAACGGCAGCACAGGAGAGCUUGCUCUCUGGGUGGCGAGUGGCGGACGGGUGAGGAAUACAUCGGAAUCUACUCUGUCGUGGGGGAUAACGUAGGGAAACUUACGCUAAUACCGCAUACGACCUACGGGUGAAAGCAGGGGAUCUUCGGACCUUGCGCGAUUGAAUGAGCCGAUGUCGGAUUAGCUAGUUGGCGGGGUAAAGGCCCACCAAGGCGACGAUCCGUAGCUGGUCUGAGAGGAUGAUCAGCCACACUGGAACUGAGACACGGUCCAGACUCCUACGGGAGGCAGCAGUGGGGAAUAUUGGACAAUGGGCGCAAGCCUGAUCCAGCCAUACCGCGUGGGUGAAGAAGGCCUUCGGGUUGUAAAGCCCUUUUGUUGGGAAAGGAUCCAGCUGGCUAAUACCCGGUUGGGAUGACGGUACCCAAAGAAUAAGCACCGGCUAACUUCGUGCCAGCCGCCGCCGUAA